GUAUGUCUGUGUGUGUGAGAGUCUGUCAGUGUCUGUGUGGUUCAGUAUGUCUGUAUGUGUGUAUGUCUGUCAGUGUGUCAGUAUGUCUGCGUGUGAGUCUGUCAGUGUCUGUGUGGUUCAGUGUGUAUGUGUGUUUCAGUAUGGCUGUCUGUGUAUGUCAAAAUGUCUGGAUGUGUGUUUGUCUGUCAGUGUCUGUGUGUAUGUGUGUUUCAGCAUGUCUGUCU
rnacentral:lncRNA from 1 species